rnacentral:lncRNA from 1 species
CAGGAACUUACGGACAGCUUCUAAGAGUGCUAUGAUCUGAGAGAUUCAGUUCCAGUAAUCUUUUUUGAGCAUGUAAUUCUGCACUGGUUACCACAUUUGGCUAGGGGCCUGCAGGUGCUCAUACCUGUUUGUCCAUAAAACCCUCAGCUGCAUCUCACAGGAUUCAUGUUCCAUACACCAUGUUUUGGGAAAUGCUCCUCUAUGCUAAUAAAAAGAACAAUGUUCUUGUACAGACUUCAUGGGA